rnacentral:rRNA from 1 species
GAACGCUAGCGACAGGCCUAACACAUGCAAGUCGAGGGGCAGCACAAGGAGCAAUCUGAGGUGGCGACCGGCGCACGGGUGAGUAACACGUAUGCAACCUGCCUGUAAGCGGGGAAUAACCCGUUGAAAGACGGACUAAUACCGCAUAAUACUAAAUUACUGCAUGGUAAUUUAUUUAAACAUUUAUGGCUUACAGAUGGGCAUGCGCAUGAUUAGCUAGUUGGAGAGGUAACGGCUCCCCAAGGCAACGAUCAUUAGGGGUUCUGAGAGGAAGGUCCCCCACACUGGUACUGAGACACGGACCAGACUCCUACGGGAGGCAGCAGUGAGGAAUAUUGGUCAAUGGACGAGAGUCUGAACCAGCCAAGUCGCGUGCAGGAAGAAUGUCCUUAAUGGAUUGUAAACUGCUUUUGCAGGGGGAAUAAAGUGCAUCACGUGUGAUGUUUUGUAUGUACUCUGCGAAUAAGGAUCGGCUAACUCCGUGCCAGCAGCGGC